rnacentral:rRNA from 1 species
GACGAACGCUGGCGGCGUGCCUAAUACAUGCAAGUCGAACGCAGUGGGGACGGGUUAGUAACACGUGGGUAACCUCCCAUCAGAGGGGAUAACACUUGGUAACAGGUGCUCAACCGAUACUGACGGCUGGACCCUCGGUGCAGUAGCUAGUUGGUGAGGUAACGGCUCACCAAGGCCACGAUGCAUAGCCGAGCUGAGAGGAUGAUCGGCCACACGGGGACGGAGACACGGACCACAGUCCUACGGGAGGCAGCAGUAGGGAAUAUUCGGCAAUGGACGAAAGUCUGACCGAGCGACGCCGCGGGAGUGAAGAAGGUUUUCGGAUCGUGAAACUCUGUUGUUAGAGAAGAGGUAGCUAACCAGAAAGCCAGGGCUAACUACGUGCCAUCCGGCGCGGGAAUUC